UACGUAGGGUGCAGGCGUUAAUCGGAAUUACUGGGCGUAAAGCGUGCGCAGGCGGUUUGCUAAGACAGGUGUGAAAUCCCCGGGCUUAACCUGGGAACUGCGCUUGUUACUGGCAGGCUUGAGUGUGGCAGAGGGGGGUGGAAUUCCGCGUGUAGCAGUGAAAUGCGUAGAUAUUGGGAAGAACAUCGGUGGCGAAGGCGGCUCACUGGCCCGUUACUGACGCUCAGGCGCGACAGCGUGGGGAUCAAACAGG
rnacentral:rRNA from 1 species